GACACUGGGAAAGUAAGAGAGACUGGGAGAGAGACACUGGGAAAGUAAGAGAGACUGGGGGAGAGACACUGGGGGAGAGACACUGGGAAGUAAGAGAGACUGGGGGAGAGACACUGGGGAAGUGAGAGAGAGACUGGGAGAGAGACACUGGGAAAGUAAGAGAGACUGGGAGAGAGACACUGGGAAAGUAAGAGAGACUGGGAGAGAGACACUGGGAAAGUAAGAGACUGGGAGAGAGACACUGGGGGAGAGACACUGGGGAAGUGAGAGAGAGACUGGGAGAGGACACUGGGAAAGUAAGAGAGACUGGGAGAGGACACUGGGAAAGUAAGAGAGACUGGGAGAGAGACACUGGGAAAGUAAGAGAGACUGGGAGAGAGACACUGGGAAAGUAAGAGAGACUGGGAGAGAGACACUGGGGGAGAGACACUGGGGAAGUGAGAGAGACUGGGAGAGAUGCUGGGAAAUGAGAGAGACUGAGGGAGAAAGACAGAGAGAGGAAGACAGACACAGGAUGGAAGAACAGCUCUGGAUAGAAGGGCACUGUAGAUCUUCUCCAUGGGUCUGCGUGUGUUUUGGAGGACGGCGCUCCGAGAGAUGAGCUGUUGGCCCUGUAUCCUGUGCUGUGAUUAGAAACGGAGGACACGGGUCGUCUCUCUGCUCGUCCUUUUACAGGAGAUGAUCUGUUUACGAGCGUUGUCGUAGCUCUGCGUGCUGAUUAUAAAGACGUCCGUGCAGCUCAGUUUCUUUAAGACCACGUCACAUCUUCAGAUCAGUUAGAAUCACUGUCUUUUAUUUAUAAUCAAGUUAUUAUUAUUUUUUAAUUCAUGUAAAGUCUUUUCAGCGUUCGCACUAAAUACCAUCGACACCAGUACAUUAGUGAGGGAUAAAUAAGAACACACACCCAGCCCGUGGCUAUCGCAGACGCGUUUCCGCUCUGUUAUUUCCCCUCGCGCUGAUUUCGUCCUCACGUUUGUAACAAAUAUCUCGCUGGUGGUUCUGGUCGUGUUCCUCACCCCGCCUCUCACAGGUACCGCUUUCUCAUUAGCUUAGCGCCACACCGUACAGCUCCCGUCUGUAAAGGGAAGGGCGGAUCUGUCAGUCUCUGGGCUGUAAUUUGACAGCUGUGUGUGACUAACUUCCACACGUGUGCUCAUCCUGAGUGUAGCACCUGCAGCGCGACCUCCAGAUCACCUCGCGCGUGAUCGGCGAGAGGAUGAGCGCGAGAAAGCCGUACCCCAUGACUGUUCACUUCCAGGAAUGGAAAUUCCCAUGACUUCACACUCUCUUAGAUGGGGAACGUGUCGGGUUUGCAUAAGGGUGUGUGUGUGUGUGUUUAUCGUGCAUCCGCUGAACACCUUCUGUGCUUUUGGGAGACGCAGUGACAGGAACAUGACCUCACAUUUACAUCCUUCACAGGAACGGCUGCGUCCACCGCAGACACGAUUUCAUUCAAGACGCUCCGACCCGAGUCACACGGAGAUGACGCAACGCCAGUGCACUCGUAUUCCUCCGAUAUGAGCUAAGGAAUGUAGAGUAAGUGGGGUAAGGGUUGUUUUUUUUUUUU
ensembl:lncRNA